AACGGCCGCGGUAUCCUAACCGUGCAAAGGUAGCAUAAUCACUUGCCUAUUAAUUGUAGGCUAGAAUGAAUGGGUUAACGAAAUAAAGACUGUCUCAAUUAAUCACCUAAAAAUUACUAUCUAUCUGAAGAAGAAUAGAUAAUCUCGAAGGACAAGAAGACCCUAUAGAGCUUAAUUUUAAUUAUAGAGCUACACUAUAAAAAUAUUCGGUUGGGGCGACCCGGGGCUAAUCAAUCACCCACUACAUAAAAGAUAAGUUAAUCAAGUAAUUGACCCCUAAAAGAUCAUAAGAACAAGCUACCUUAGGGAUAACAGGCUAAUCCCACUCAAGAGUCCUUAUCAACAGUGGGGUUUGGCACCUCGAUGUUGGCUUAGG
rnacentral:rRNA from 1 species